rnacentral:rRNA from 1 species
UACGGGGGGGGCAAGCGUUGUUCGGAAUUACUGGGCGUAAAGGGCUCGUAGGCGGCCAACUAAGUCGGAUGUGAAAUCCCCAGGCUCAACCUGGGAACUGCAUCCGAUACUGGAUGGCUUGAAUUCGGGAGAGGGAUGCAGAAUUCCGGGUGUAGCGGUGGAAUGCGUAGAGAUCCGGAAGAACACCGGUGGCGAAGGCGGCCUGCUGGGCAGUUUAGCUGACACUGAGGCGCGACAGCGUGGGGAGCAAACAGG